rnacentral:lncRNA from 1 species
UUUUUUUCUUUUUUUUUUUUUUUUUUAAGGAUUCUAUUUAUUUAUUCAUGAGAGAGAAAGGGAGGGAGAGAGAGGCAGAGACACAGGCAGAGGGAGAAGCAGGCUCCAUUCAGGGAGCCCGAUGUGAGAAUCAAUCCCAGGACUCCAGGAUCAUGCCCUGGGCCGAAGUCAGAUGCUAAACCCCUGAGCCACCCAGAGAUCCCCCUCUUUUUUCAACAUCAGUUUUAACUUACCCUGCCAAUUCGGUAAUGCACUCCACAACUUAAGAACAAAAAAGUGCCUUGCAGAUGACUUUACUGUGGUAUAUAGUCUGUCCUCAAUGAUCCAUUUGGUAUUUUCCUCAACAUUUGGGGUCCAUGUGCAUAGGAAACAUCACUCGCUCUAGUAGGGCAAGGGGCUAACCCUGAUGGGGUUUUAAUAGAGGAAAAAGACAAAUCCAAACUAAAAAUAGAGAUGAUUUUUAUUCUCCAGUAGAAUAUCUGGGAGCUUCCAAAAGAGUGCACUUUAUUAAGUUAUGAAAAUGAGUUUAAUGUGGAAAUAUGUAAGAUGUCCAGAUUGACAGCUCAACCCAUGAAAAAGUAAGGUAUUUAAUGAAGAACAUACUCUCUCCAAGGACCAUGGUAGUGCUGAUUUAAAAAAAAAAAAAAAAAGUGCACGAAACUCUCCCUGUCCAAAAUACACUAGUAGUCUUAGUGACUUAGAAUCAAAGACUAGAAAACAAAAUAUAUAAGAAAAUAUAACCAUGAAAUAAAAAUAAUGCAAUACUUAAUUAUUUGACACUUAAACUGUAGGUAUCAUUGGUGGUUGAUGAUGGGGUUUGGAAGUGAAGGGAUCGUUUUAAAUUGGGGUGCAUUAGUAAGAAAGGCUUUCUGGGGGAACAGUAUUUAAGUUACAAAGGAUUGAUGUAUUUAAAUUUUUAAGGAUAUGAAAAGGUAAGGAGAAAAAUAUAAAGAGAUUUUUAAAACUAUGGUGGCUUCCUUAGGGACAAAGAAACAACAAUUUCUGUGAAGCAAAUCCAAUCCUUUGUGUUUUAAAUUAAAGAAAUGCAGACUGAGACUAGUUAAGUGCAUUCCUUGCAUAGCUCAUUUGUACACACCUGGAAUUCAAGCCUAGACCAAGGCUUUAUCCAUUCUACCACCAUGCUCCAGAGGAAGAGCUGGCCCAGCCAAUGCCUAAAGUGCAAUUCUCUGCUUUUGCUUUGCUAAUUUUCUCUUUGGUCUCAGAGUUUUCUGGGACUUGAGACAUGGCUAUUGAACUCUCUCUCCUGACCUGGCACCCUAAACUAGUUUAAAUCCAUGACCUGUCCUCUUCCCAACUUGCCCGUUGGUUAAGGUACCAUCAUUUCUUUUCAUAGCACAUCUUUUUUAGAAAAAAGUCUAGAAGAGAAGGAAGGAAGGGAGGGAGGGAGGGAGGGAAGAAAAGGGAGGGAAAGAAAGGGAAAGAAGAGGAAAUAGGAGGAAAAGAAACUAAAUGAAAAAGACCCCACACUGUCUCCAAAAUGUAUCUUCUCUCUCACCCAAUUCUCAUCCUAAAUCCCACCUCCUCCUGACCUGGAAUAUAAUUUAUGGAACGAGGUUGAUUUCCUAGUUAAUACAAGGAGCUGCACUUUAAACAUUGCUGUAUUUAUUCAAGCAGGAUAAAGCCAUGUCUCCUCACUGUUAGUUUCCUGACUUCUUGGCAUUGGACCUAAUGUUUCUUGUCCCAGAUUCUACCCUCAGAUCUUGAUAAAUUGCCUCAAGUUGUGCCAUCUGGCCAAGAGGUUAACUAUUUGUACGAUCUGUCUCUUUAUGGGAUUCCACCCUUCAUCUCAUUCACAAUACUUUCACUUAAAAUAACAUGUAAGGAAAAAAGCUGUCCAAUGUGGUAAACACACUAGCUUGGUUCUACGCAGCAUUAGUUCCCCAUGAAUGUUUAAAGCUUUACAUCUGUAUGCUCAUCACUUUUUUUCACUUGUCUUGUUGACUGUAAUCUUACUUCCUCGAGUCUCCGUGGAUGCUCUGGGAUCCUACAGUUCCCAAUUUCCCAAGUGUUCAACUUAAUGGAAUCAGGUUCCAGGCAGUGAACUGACACUGUGAUGAAGCGUUUACUCCCCCGACAGAGGAAAUAUGGGGGAAGCCUAAAACAAGGAGCAUAUUUGGGAAGUCCAGGAAUAACUACUGCAAGAAACUACUACAGGAAUAUCAAAGGAAAAUUCAUGUAGGGUGGAUUGUAACACCCUCAGUUUCAAAGAAUUCCCUCAUUAGCAUACCUGUUAACACAGAGAUGUUAGAAAGGCCAAUUUAAAAAGAACUUUAAAAAAAAACUAAGUAGGCAAAACAAACAGGAUUAUUACUGAGUUAAUAGUCCUAUGUUAAUAAUACUUACAGAAGAAAUAAGUGACUAGUGGGGUGCCUGGGGGGCUCAGUCAGUUAAGAGCCCAUCUCUGAUUUCAGGUCAGGUGGUGAUCUCAGGGUCAUGGGAUGGAGCCCCAUAUGGGGCUCUGAGCUCAGCAAGGAAUCUGCUUCUUUUCCUCUCUCUCUCUGCUCACUCCCCCAACCCUCACAGUCUCUCUCUCUCUCUGAAAUAAAUAAAUUAAAUCAGAAAGAAAGAAGAAAGAAAGAAAGAAAGAAAGAAAGAA